rnacentral:rRNA from 1 species
AUUGAACGCUGGCGGCAGGCUUAACACAUGCAAGUCGAGCGGAGAUGAGGUGCUUGCACCUUAUCUUAGCGGCGGACGGGUGAGUAAUGCUUAGGAAUCUGCCUAUUAGUGGGGGACAACAUUCUGAAAGGAAUGCUAAUACCGCAUAAGUCCUACGGGAGAAAGCAGGGGAUCGUCGGACCUGGCGUUAAUAGUUGAUCUUAAGUCGGAUUAGCUAGUUGGUGGGGUAAAGGCCUACCAAGGCGACGUUCUGUAGCGGGUCUGAGAGGAGCAUCCGCCACACUGGGACUGAGAAACGGACCAGACUCCUACGGGAGGCAGCAGUGGGGAAUAUUGGACAAUGGGGGGAACCCUGAUCCAGCCAUGCCGCGUGUGUGAAGAAGGCCUUAUGGUUGUAAAGCACUUUAAGCGAGGAGGAGGCUACUGAGACUAAUACUCUUGGAUAGUGGACGUUACUCGCAGAAUAAGCACCGGCUAACUCUGUGCCAGCCGCCGCCGUAACAC